rnacentral:lncRNA from 1 species
CCGCACUCCCAAACCCCUCCACUGUGCCUUCCACGCCCUAUGUUACAAAGGAAGUGCGUGUGAUCCCAGCGCUUAGAGGUUUUGGCAGGGAGAUUACCGAGGAAGGCAGGCCCACCAUCUCCUGGUCCUGUAUGUGACCAGUUUUCAUUCUGCUUCGUGGUGUAUCUCGGGGGUGCCCAGUGGAGUCAGAGUUAUCUACCUCUGGAGCUGGGACCUAGUCUCCUAAGUUCUGCUUUGGCUUUCAGGACCUCUCUCUCCAACAAUAGUUAUUCUUGACAGUUUUCAUAAUAAAAUAAAUCGAAAAGACGG